rnacentral:misc_RNA from 1 species
AGCAGCCGCGGUAAUUCCAGCUCCAAUAGCGUAUAUUAAAGUUGUUGCAGUUAAAAGCUCGUAGUUGAAUUUCGGGGUUAGUAGGUUGGUCAUGCCACUGGUAUGUACUGAUCUUACUGAUUCCUCCUUCCUGAUGAACCGUAAUGCCAUUAAUUUGGUGUUGCGGGGAGACUGGACUGUUACUUUGAAAAAUUGAGUGUUUAAAGCAGGCUAACGCUUGAAUACAUUAGCAUGGAAUAAUGAAAUAGGACGUUCGAUCCUAUUUUGUUGGUUUCUAGGAUUGACGUAAUGAUUAAUAGGGAUAGGUUGGGGGCAUUAGUAUUCAAUUGUCAGAGGUGAAAUUCUUGGAUUUAUUGAAGACUAACUACUGCGAAAGCAUUUGCCAAGGAUGUUUUCAUUAAUCAAAGAACGUAAAGGUUAGGGAUCGAAGACGAUCAGAUACCGUCGUAGUCUUAACAAUAACUAU